rnacentral:lncRNA from 1 species
GGCCCCAGGAGAGUGUGCUCGUUCUGUUCACGGAGCUGGCCGCGUUAGCGACGUCCUCGAGUCCGCGGCGGGCACGAUGCAGCUCUUGGUGAGGGUACCCUCUCUUCCGGAGCGGGGCGAGCUGGACUGCAACAUCUGCUACCGUCCUUUCAACCUCGGGUGCCGCGCGCCCCGCCGCCUGCCCGGAACGGCGCGCGCCCGCUGCGGCCACACGAUCUGCACCGCCUGCCUCCGCGAGCUGGCGGCGCGCGGGGACGGCGGCGGGGCGGCCGCGCGCGUGGUGCGCCUGCGCCGCGUGGUCACGUGCCCCUUCUGCCGCGCGCCCUCGCAGCUCCCUCGCGGCGGCCUCACGGAGAUGGCUCUUGACUCGGACUUGUGGUCGCGAUUGGAGGAAAAAGCGCGGGCCAAGUGCGAACGAGAUGAGGCUGGGAACCCGGCCAAGGAAAGCAGCGACGCUGACGGAGAGGCGGAGGAAGAAGGGGAGAGCGAGAAGGGGGCGGGGCCUAGGAGUGCUGGGUGGCGCGCGCUCCGGCGGCUCUGGGACAGGGUCCUGGGGCCUGCGCGGCGCUGGCGGCGUCCGCUGCCUAGCAACGUGCUCUACUGUGCGGAGAUCAAGGACAUUGGCCACCUGACCCGUUGCACGUUGUAACCGAGGAACUCGGAAGCUACAGCCGAAGGAAGGUGGGAGCUGCAGCCUCGCGGGGGCUGAUGUCAAGACUACUCUCUCUCAGAUCCCAGGAUUGGCAUGUGAUGAGAGAGAUGAGCCGAAGGCAGGAGGGAACGCCCUGGGAGGUGUUGAUGCUGAGUUGGGGAGGCUCCUAGACGAACUCGCCCCCAUCUACUGACUGUGCCAGUCUUACAUUUUCAGGAUGGAGUGGCCAAGGGAUGAUAUAAACAAAGCCUACGUUACCGUGGGAAGAAGACAGACUGUUUUCUUAGCUGGGACGUUGGCUUUUGUCCAGGGUGGCUCUGGUGUGUGGGAGCAACAGGUCCCAUUUUAGCAAUUCUUUGUCAAUGGUUUGAAUUUUUUUUUUUUUUAAGAUGGAACGGGAGAGAAGAGGCUAAUUUUCGCGUCAUGUUAAUCUCACUUCUCUGGCAUGUAAGGGUGCUGGUAUGCCUGCUGUCUCCCCACUCCCAGUUCUGUGUUCCAGAAAUUGAGAUGGCUCCCUGCCUGUGACUAUGAUUAGGAGCCUUGCUUCAUUUCAGAAUCUCCCUUCAACCUGCUAGGGCAGGUAUCAGAAAUUCCAAAGGGCAUUUAUGUGAGGCACCUAAUUAGAGCCUAUCAAAGUAGGAAGGGAGAGCCAUUUGAAAGGCAUCAUAUUUCAAACUUUUGCUAUUAUCUGUGUUAUCUUUACAGUCACGGGAACACACUAGCGCUACUGAAAAGAUACUUAUACAAUUUUAAGUGUCUUUAAAAUUUGUGUCCCAUAAUGGGACAUCACCUGUUGUAUAUAUGCCAUGUAUUCUAUUUUAGAAUCCUGUAUCUUAUGACCAUAAAGUCAUAGUCAAGGACCAGCAGUGUUGGUGUACUGUCAACGGAAGUGCACAGUCUCACUCUAGGAUCCCACUCCAGACUUCCUGAAUCAGACUCUGGCAGGGUUUUUUGUUUUUUUGUUUUUGUUUUGAGCCAGAGUCUCACUGUGUCGCCCAGGCUGGAGUGCAGUGGCGUGAUCUCGGCUCACUGCAGCCUCCGCCUCCCAGGUUCAAGCGAUUCUCCUGCCUCAUCCUCCGGAGUAGCUGGGAUUACAGGCGCCUGCCACCACACCUGGCUAAUUUUUGUAUUUUUAGUAGAGAUGGGGUUUCGCCAUGUUUGUCAGGCUGGUCUCAAAACUCCUGACCUCAGGUGAUGGCGCCCACCUUGGCCUCCCAAAGUGCUGGGAUUAUAGGAGUGAGCCACCGCGCCGGGCCAGACUCUGGCAUUUUAACAAUCCCAGGUGAUGUGUGUGCAUGUGAAAAUUUAAGUACCAUUGGUCUAGAUCCUACACUCUUUAGGAUAUCACCAUCUGUAGGUAGAAUAUUUAAAGCAUAAUAGGUAUGACUGAUAGAUUAUUUUAUCCAAAGUUCUUUUUUUUUUUUUUUGAGAUGGAGUCUUGCUCUGUUGCCCAGACUGGAGUGCAGUGGCGUGAUCUCGGCUCACUGCAAGCUCUGCCUCCUGGGUUCACGCCAUUCUCCUGCCUCAGCCUCCCAAGUAGCUGGGGCUACAGGCACCCACCACCACGCCUGGCUAAUUUUUUUGUAUUUUUAGUAGAGAUGGGGUUUCACCGUGUUAGCCAGGAUGGUCUCGAUCUCCUGACCUCAUGAUCCGCCUGCCUCGGCCUCCCAAAGUGCUAGGAUUACAGGCGUGAGCCACCACGCCCGGCCCCAAAGUUCUAAAGUAACAUUCUAUUGCUAAAGAAAUCCUAACCUACUAUGUAACAUUUUUCUCUUAGUUAAAAAUGUGAACUUAUUAUUAACCUCAAUUUUUUAGAGGCCUCCAAUCUUUUUAAAAUAUAAAUAUUUUUGAUUGACAAAUCAUAAUUAUACACUUAUGGGGGUAUAAACCUCAAUUUUUGUAACCCUAUUUUGGCAUUUUCCUGUCCUUACAUCUCAGCUUAAAUGCUCCCUCUUUUGGGAGGCCUUUUUCUGCCUUCAACAUAGUAGAGCCUUUUCCCCCACCCCUCUGUAACAUAAUGCCCUGUUUUAUUUUUACUGCUUUUAUUUUCAUGCUUUGUGGGUGUCCCCACUGGAGUGUAAGCCCUAUGGGAGCAAGGGCUGACCUGUGACUGUUUUAUCUCCAGGGCCAACAGCAGUGUUACUGUAUAGUAUGUACUCAAUAAAUAUUUGUUGGCUUU